CUAUCAAUAAGCGGAAGGAAAAGAAACCAACAGGGAUUGCCCCAGUAACGGCGAGUGAAGCGGCAAAAGCUCAAAUUUGAAAUCUGGCUCCUUAGGGGGUCCGAGUUGUAAUUUGUAGAGGAUGCUUCGGGUGCGGCCACGGCCUAAGUUCCUUGGAACAGGACGUCACAGAGGGUGAGAAUCCCGUCUUUGGCAGUUGGCCCGCGCCCGUGUGAAGCUCCUUCGACGAGUCGAGUUGUUUGGGAAUGCAGCUCUAAGCGGGUGGUAAAUUUCAUCUAAAGCUAAAUAUUGGCCGGAGACCGAUAGCGCACAAGUAGAGUGAUCGAAAGGUUAAAAGCACCUUGAAAAGGGAGUUAAACAGCACGUGAAAUUGUUGAAAGGGAAGCGCUUGCGGCCAGACUCGGGCGCGGGGUUCAGCGGGUGCGCGUCACCCGUGUACUCCCCGCCGCCCGGGCCAGCAUCAGUUCUGACGGCCGGUCAAAGGCCCCCGGAAUGUAUCGUCUCUCGGGACGUCUUAUAGCCGGGGGUGCAAUGCGGCCCGUCGGGACUGAGGAACGCGCUUCGGCUCGGAUGCUGGCGUAAUGGCCGUAAGCGGCCCGUCUUGAAACACGGACCAAGGAGUCUAACAUCCACGCGAGUGUUCGGGUGUCAAACCCGUGCGCGCAGUGAAAGCGAACGGAGGUGGGAGCCUUAGGGCGCACCAUCGACCGAUCCUGAAGUCUUCGGAUGGAUUUGAGUAGGAGCGUGGCCGUUGGGACCCGAAAGAUGGUGAACUAUGCCUGAAUAGGG
rnacentral:rRNA from 1 species